CUGCUGCCUUCCGUAGGAGUCUGGUCCGUGUCUCAGUACCAGUGUGGGGGGCCUUCCUCUCAGAACCCCUACGCAUCGUCGCCUCGGUGGGCCGUUACCCCGCCGACUAGCUAAUGCGCCGCAUGCCCAUCCGUGGCCGGGAUUGCUCCCUUUGGCGGCCUUGGGAUGUCCCUAGGCCGCGUUACGCGGUAUUAGACGGGGUUUCCCCCGCUUAUCCCCCUGCCACGGGCAGGUUGCAUACGUGUUACUCACCCGUGCGCCGGUCGCCGGCAACCGG
rnacentral:rRNA from 1 species